GUUUGUGUACUGGAAUAAAUUUGCAAUUGAAACAACAAGAUGACCGACACCCUCCAUUACAAACAUUACCUGCGGUAUUCUAUGUGGUAAACCAUCAAAUGUUAUGUGGUAACUGUGUAGUACUUUGUUGUUUUUUGGGACGUUUUACCACAUGAUUCUGUGCUGUACAGUAUGUGAUACUCCUGUAGUAUUCUUGUGGUAGUGUAUCACUUUCAUAUUGUGGUAGUAUUUACCACAGGAUUCUGUUAUACAAUAUGUAAUAUUCCUGGGAUAUUCUUGUGGUAGAGCGUGUGGUAUUUCUGUUAUAUUCCUGUAAUAUUUUUGUGGUAGCAUGUGGUAUUUCAUGUGGUAAACCAUCAAAUGUACAAAACAAAAACCAUGUGAUGAUUGUGUAGUACUUUGUUGUUUUUUUGGGAUGUUUUCUGUGUUGUACAGUAUGUAAUACUCCUGCGGUAUUCUUGUGGUAGUGUGUGGUAUCACUUAAACAUUUCUGUUGCACCACAGGAUUCUGUUGCUUAGUAUGUAAUACUCCUGUAGUUUUCUAGAUAUAUUAGAUGUAUAUAAGUUCCUAUUUAAAUAGGGUAUAUGCCGAGCUAGUGCUGUUUCCAUGCUGAUACACUUCCGGUGACCUGUUAUUGUGAACUUUUUUUCCUUUUUAUACGGUUCCUUAUACAGCAUCGAUGUUGUAAUGUCAUUAACAUACAUUCAGUUAAAUAAACUUUUGCAUUUAUUUAGUUGCUCAAGCGUAAAACGAGACAAAAAGCUGUUUACUCGCACGCGCCCGUCAGAAUCGGCAGGCUAACGCAGAAGCUCCAUUGAAUAUACUGGGGUAAAAUAUAUUGCUCAUAUUAUAAGGAUAUGGCGGGGGAAAUGUAAUUUAAUGCAGUGCUUCUUGUAC
rnacentral:lncRNA from 1 species